UACAGAGGGUGCGAGCGUUGUCCGGAAUCACUGGGCGUAAAGGGCGCGUAGGCGGCCUGAUAAGUAGGGGGUGAAAUCCUGUGGCUUAACUGCAGGGCUGCCUCCUAGACUGUCUGGCUCGAGCACGGUAGAGGCAGAUGGAAUUCCCGGUGUAGCGGUGGAAUGCGUAGAGAUCGGGAAGAACAUCGGUGGCGAAGGCGGUCUGCUGGGCCGUUGCUGACGCUGAGGCGCGACAGCGUGGGGAGCAAACAGG
rnacentral:rRNA from 1 species